rnacentral:rRNA from 1 species
UACGUAGGGGGCGAGCGUUAUUCGGAAUUAUUGGGCGUAAAGGGCGCGUAGGCGGCUGAACAAGUCAAAGGUGAAAUCCCUCGGCUCAACUGAGGAACUGCCUUUGAAACUGUUCGGCUUGAGGCCGGGAGGGGGUAGCGGAAUUCCCAGUGUAGCGGUGAAAUGCGUAGAUAUUGGGAGGAACACCAGUGGCGAAGGCGGCUACCUGGACCGGUUCUGACGCUGAGGCGCGAAAGCGUGGGUAGCAAACAGG